ACUUUUUUAGUAUAAAUAAAUAUAUUUGACUUCCAAUCAAAAGACCUUAGUAAAGAAAAAGUA
rnacentral:tRNA from 1 species